rnacentral:lncRNA from 1 species
UUUCAAGCCUUUUGUAAAUAGGUGAAGGGGUGGAGAAAUUAGAGAUUUUUCAUCACACUUACCUAUUCACUAGGUUCUAUAUUUUCUUUGCUCUAUUUUCCUUUGUUCCCACACCGCUCUCGUUGUUUUCUAUCAUUGGUCGGUUUCGGAGUCCAAGUUAGUGGUGGAAUUGCUCGUCGACUUGGCUUCCUGGUUCGCUGCCCCCAAAAGGUAACCUCUUUUCAAUUUGAAAUGCAGUAUUAUUUUAUGUCGUUGCUGUUGUAACUUCCCUGCCUCCCUUUUGUCUUGUCCCGUUUCAUUUUGUCCCUUUUUCUAUUAGUCUAGUCGCCUGGUGGCUGUUUUCUUUUCAUAUUGUUGCGUAGUGGCCAUAAUUUAGUUAUUUGCUUAGAUGACUCUAUUGGUUUCUAUUUCUAAUAAAAUCUCGUCUUGCUUUUGGUCAUACUUUUGGAGUAUAGAGCGACGAGGGAGUUUUCUUGUGGAAAAAAAAGGGACAAGGGGUUGAAUAUCCCAUGAUGUUCAGUACGUUGUUCUUUUCUCACUCAUAAAUUACUCCUCAGAUUUUCGCAACCCCUAUUUCCUUUGAAUACACCAAUCUCGUGAAAUAGAACUCGCUUGCUAAUAAGUUUCAGCUAUGUUUGAACUGAAUAUGUUGGCAUGAUCACUUUGUUUCUAUAGCUCGAUGAAAUAUAAGUAUAGAGGGUGUU